AAAUUGAAGAGUUUGAUCAUGGCUCAGAUUGAACGCUGGCGGCAGGCCUAACACAUGCAAGUCGAACGGUAACAGGAAACAGCUUGCUGUUUCGCUGACGAGUGGCGGACGGGUGAGUAAUGUCUGGGAAACUGCCUGAUGGAGGGGGAUAACUACUGGAAACGGUAGCUAAUACCGCAUAACGUCGCAAGACCAAAGAGGGGGACCUUCGGGCC
rnacentral:rRNA from 3 species